rnacentral:rRNA from 1 species
CCUACGGGAGGCAGCAGUGAGGAAUAUUGGUCAAUGGGCGUAAGCCUGAACCAGCCAAGUCGCGUGAGGGAUGAAGGUUCUAUGGAUCGUAAACCUCUUUUAUAAGGGAAUAAAGUGUGGGACGUGUCCUAUUUUGUAUGUACCUUAUGAAUAAGGAUCGGCUAACUCCGUGCCAGCAGCCGCGGUAAUACGGCGGAGCCGAGCGUUAUCCGGAUUUAUUGGGGUUAAAGGGUGCAUAGGCGGCCUUUUAAGUCAGCGGUGAAAGUCUGUGGCUCAACCAUAGAAUUGCCGUUGAAACUGGGGGGCUUGAGUAUGUUUGCGGCAGGCGGAAUGCGUGGUGUAGCGGUGAAAUGCUUAGAUAUCACGCAGAACCCCGAUUGCGAGGGCAGCCUGCCAAGCCAUGACUGACGCUGAUGCACGAAAGCGUGGGGAUCAAACAGGAUUAGAUACCCCAGUAGUC